rnacentral:rRNA from 1 species
AUUGAACGCUGGCGGCAUGCCUAACACAUGCAAGUCGAACGGAGGUAGGGGCAACUCUACUUCAGUGGCGGGCGGGUGAGGAAUGCGUCGGAAUCUACCCUAUGGUGGGGGAUAACACAGGGAAACUUGUGCUAAUACCGCAUAAUGUCGAGAGACCAAAGCAGGGGACCGCAAGGCCUUGCGCGAUAGGAUGAGCCGACGCCCGAUUAGCUUGUUGGUAGGGUAAUGGCCUACCAAGGCGACGAUCGGUAGCUGGUCUGAGAGGAUGAUCAGCCACACUGGGACUGAGACACGGCCCAGACUCCUACGGGAGGCAGCAGUGGGGAAUAUUGGACAAUGGGCGCAAGCCUGAUCCAGCAAUGCCGCGUGUGUGAAGAAGGCCUGCGGGUUGUAAAGCACUUUUGUUCGGGAAGAAAUCAUGCUGGUUAAUACCUGGUAUGGAUGACGGUACCGAAAGAAUAAGCACCGGCUAACUUCGUGCCAGCAGCCGCGGUAA